UACAGAGGGUGCGAGCGUUAUUCGGAAUUACUGGGCGUAAAGCGCACGUAGUCGGCUUUGCAAGUCGGUUGUGAAAUCCCCGGGCUCAACCUGGAAACUGCAUCCGAGACUGCAUUGCUAGAGUAUGGGAGAGGAAAGCGGAAUUUCUGGUGUAGCAGCGAAAUGCGUAGAUAUCGGGAGGAACACCAGUGGCGAAGGCGACUACCUGGCCUGUUCUUGACGCUGAGGCGCGAAAGCUAGGGGAGCAAACGGG
rnacentral:rRNA from 1 species